CCUACGGGUGGCUGCAGUAGGGAAUUUUCGUCAAUGGGCGCAAGCCUGACCGAGCAAUGCCGCGUGAACGAGGACGGUCUUCGGAUCGUAAAGUUCUGUUGAAGGGGAAAAAGAGCGGAGAGAGGAAAUGGUCUCCGAUUGAUAUUACCCUUCGAGGAAGUCACGGCUAACUACGUGCCAGCAGCCGCGGUAAUACGUAGGUGGCGAGCGUUAUCCGGAAUGAUUGGGCGUAAAGGGUGCGCAGGCGGUCCUGCAAGUCUGGAGUGAAACGCAUGGGCUCAACUCAUGCAUGGCUUUGGAAACUGGGGGACUGGAGAGCAGGAGAGGGCGGUGGAACUCCAUGUGUAGCGGUAAAAUGCGUAGAUAUAUGGAAGAACACCAGUGGCGAAGGCGGCCGCCUGGCCUGUUGCUGACGCUGAGGCACGAAAGCGUGGGGAGCAAAUAGGAUUAGAUACCCCUGUAGUC
rnacentral:rRNA from 1 species